UACGGAGGAUCCAAGCGUUAUCCGGAAUCAUUGGGUUUAAAGGGUCCGUAGGCGGCCCAGUAAGUCAAUGGUGAAAUCUCCCGGCUCAACCGGGAAAUUGCCAUUGAUACUGCUGGGCUUGAAUUACCAGGAAGGUAACUAGAAUAUGUAGGUGUAGCGGUGAAAUGCUUAGAGAAUUACAUGGAAUACCAAUUGCGAAGGCCAGGUACUACUGGUGGAUUGACGCUGAUGGACGAAAGCGUGGGUAGCGAACAGGA
rnacentral:rRNA from 1 species